GUUCCGGAACGCCGCGGCCCAGGGCUGCCACCUCCGCGGGGAACACCCUUGCUCUGCCCAGCUGGCGGGAGCAUCAUCUGCCCCCCCGCCACCCAGCCGGGAGCCCGAUCCGACUCAGGAUUACACUGACAUCACUGCGAGAGAUGCUGGGAUCAUUCCCCGGGGGAGGGAAGGAAAGACGCGUGUCAGCCUCGCAGUCGCGGCGCUUUCUGCAGGCCCUGGCAAGCUUUUUUGCACUAGUUUGGGGGGAGCGGGAGAGUGUGGAUGAGGAUGCAGCAUAGCUGGGCAUCUUCUUUGAAAAUCUACCCGUUGGAAGGUCCGGGUAUUUAAUUAGGACCUCUUCAUCCCAAGCAGCAGGGCGAGAAUGUCCCAAAAUAACUAACCCAGAGAGUACACUCCAGCCUUCCUAGCCAAGUGUCCUGAGGCUACGUUAACAGGCAGAACUAAAUCUAGUAAAGUGCAGGGAUUAAUGAACAAACAGUUAAAGCAACAAGAUCCCUCACCUACACCCCCAUUUCUGAGGCGGACGCCCCUUUCCCUGGAGAAAAAAUUUGUCCUCCUAAAGAGGGGAUGUCCUGAAGAGAAGACGGCAAAUCAUUCCUUCUGAAGGACUCUGAUGUCUCAGCUUGCUGGGCUUUUGCUUUUUUUUUUUUUUUUUUUUUUUUUUAACCUGUUUUGGUUUACCCCUACUGUAACUCCUGAAAUGUGAAACCUAGAUAAAAGUUACUGCUGGGUUUUCUUGUUCAAAGAAGAGAAGAGAUUCUGUUCAUCUGUAGACAGUUAAUGCAUCCUCUUGACUUCUCAGGGUGUCUUUUCUCAAGGCUUGCUGUUACUCAUUUCAACACCCGAUUUUAUUUUAACGGUAAAGAGCUCAACAGUUAUCUUAGUUGAAAUUUUGUUUUGUUUUUGACAAAUGAAAACAAAUGAAUUGCUUUGUUUUUUCACAAAUGAAUUAUCACAUCAAAUGCAAUGAAGAUCCCAAGCUCUGGCAUCAGACUUGAUUCAAAUCCUGGUUCUAGGGCCUGGGUCAAGUAACUAGACUUUUCUGUUCCUUCAAUUCCUCAUCUAUGAAAUGAAGAUAAUCAAGACCUACCUCUUAAUAUAGCGGUGGAUCGAAUGUGCUAUGAUGAUGGAGGAUUUCUCACUGUGAGAGAAGUGAGCCACCAGAUAGAGAGGACACUCAAACAGCCCCAUGCAGAGGCCAAUAUAGAAAGGAUAAAAUAGCCAGCAUCAACUUACCGGCUUUGUAAGAGAGCCUUUAUAACUGAAUCCACUGCCCCGGUCAAGCCUUCAGAUGACUGCAGCUCUAGCCUACAUCUGGCUGCAAUCUCAGGUGUUCAGAUCAAGGGAAACUACUCUAAGAGGCUACACUUGAGGAACAACAACCAAGGAGCUUCAACUGCAUCUGGAUUUCAGGAGUCUGGAAAACUUUUCUUUUGAGCUAUUGACAGCCUUUAACAACUGAGUAAAGUGUACUCCUGUGAACAAAAUUCAGAGCCUGUUUGUUUCUCUCUACCUGAUUUCUCCAGAAUUUGGAAACUAUUUACUGACUCUUCUUAUUUCUGUUAACCAACCAGUGAUCUCUGGCUGCUGCUCAGAAGAACUAAGAAGGAUGGGUACCAUCUUUUGUUGGAACUCAGUUACAAAUAACCCUCACCAUACCAGCACUUUCUGAAUGAGCUCCUCUCUACCCUGAAGGCAAAAGACCCAAUAGUUAGGCUGGAAUAUUAUCACCCCUAUUCAGCCUGAAGAAGUUACAGAAAAUGGAUCUUCAUCUGUCUACAACCCUUAGGAUUAAGUGUUCUCUUAUAAUAGGGAGGGGGGAAUUGUCAGAGGCAUUUGAAUCAAAGCAACUCCAUUUCACACAGGGGCUAAGUGAAAUAAGGCUAAGACCUACUAGGCUGCAUUCCCAGGAGGUUAAGACAUUCUAAGUCACAGGAUGAGACAGGAGAGCGGCAUAAGAUGCAGGUCAGAAAGAUCUUGUGGAUAAAACAGGUUGCAGUAAAGAAGCCAGCCAAAACAUCAAAACCAAGAUGGCGACAAAAGUGACUUCUGGUCGUCUGCACUGCUACAUUCCCGCCAGCACCACGGCAGUUUACAAAUGCCAUGGCAAUGUCAGGAGGUUGCCCUACAUGUUCUAAAAUGGGGAGGAACCCUCAGUUCCAGGAAUUGCCCACCCCUUUCCUGGAAAACUCAUGAAUAAUCCACCCUUUGUUUAGCAUAUAAACAAGAAAUAACCAUAAAAAUGGGCAACUAGGUGUGCACCACUGCUCUUCUUAUGGAGUAGCCAUUCUUUCAUUCCUUUACUUUCAUAAUAAACUUGCUUUCACUUAAAAAAAAACUUGACCCUUACCUUAUGCCAUGUAUAAAAAUUAACUCACAAUGAAUCAGGAGGUAUUCCUUUUUCCUGACUGCCUUUGAACUGGGACAUCAUUUUUUUCCCUGUCUUCAGACUUGAACUGAAACAUCAGCUUUUCUUGAGUCUCAACCUGCUGUUCUUUGGACUAGAACUGCACCAUUGGCUCUCUUGGGUUUCCAGCUUAACAACUGUAGAUCUUGGAACUUGGCAGCUUUCAUAAAUACAUGAGUUAAUUUCUUAAAAUAAAUAUAUUCAUAUGUAUGUAUAUAAAAUACAUAUCUAUCUAUCUAUCUAUCUAUCUAUCUAUCUAUCUAUCUAUCUAUCUUCUAUUGAUUUUUUUUUCUCUGGAGAACCCUGACUAGUACAGCUACAUAUAGUGUGGUAUUGGUGUUAAAGAUCAAUAAAGCAGCAUGCAGAAUUCAAAACAAAACAUAUAUAGAAUUAACUGCCAACAAACAUGACAAAGUAGUCUACAUAGAAAAGGGUAGUUUUUUCCCCCAAAUGUUGCUGAUAACAAUUGUAUUUUCACAUAAAAAUUGACAGUUGACACAACUCGUGCUGUACGAAAAAAAGUUAACUUGUAAACAAAAAAUUAACUUGUAGUGGAUUAUAGACCUAAAUAUAAAAGCUAAAACCAUAAAACUUCUAGAAGAUAAUAUUGGAUAAAAUAUUCACAAACUUGGAGUGGGCAAAGAUUUCUUAAAACACAAAAAUCACUAACCAUUAAAAAAUCCCAAACCUCAGCAUCACACCAUAUACCCAAGUAAAAAAGCUGCACAUGUACCCACUUAAUCUAAAAUAAAAGUUGAAAAAAAUAAUAAUUUAAAAAAUUUGAAAAAUAAAAGUAAAAUAAAAUAGACAUUUGAGUCUUGAAGGACGGCAUUAAGAAACUGUAAAGGCAAACUAUAUUAAUAAAGAAAGUAUUAAUAAUGCAUAUGGAACAGGAGAGUUUCCUGACCUCUUCUUGGGACUUGUGACAAGAGUGUGGCUUGCUUGCUCUGCCACCACACAUUCAAACACCUUACAGGAAGGGGAGCAUACAGAUGGGCAGGUGCAGGAGCUGGGGUGAGCGCUUUUGGGCUCCUGCCCCAUGGUAGCAUCUAGGAGUAUGUUAUGAUUAAUGCUCUUUUAGCAGUUACCAUCUGUGUAUGGCUAAAUGUUAAACCAGCUCAGUGGAGUGUCAGG
rnacentral:lncRNA from 1 species